ensembl:lncRNA
CUUCCAGUACACUGGGACGUUCCUGAGACCUCUUAGCAAGAUUCUGCUUUCCAAGGAUUCCCAUGGUACAUUCCAAGAAUCACAUGCUUGCGCGAUCUUAGUUCCUGGACCAGGGAUGUAACCCAUGACCCCUGCAGUGGAAGCGUGGAGUCCUAACCACCAAGUGACCAGGUGCAGUGGCUUGCCUCAGUGAAGAAAGGCUACCUGGAUGCCCACAACAGAACCCAGUUUUGUACAGUAACCCCCCACUGCAAUGUGAGGCUCCAGAUCCUAUCAGCUUUCCUUGAAGGAGGUGUUACAGGGUGUUCAUUUUCCUGCUGUUUGCUUUCAGCACCCUCAGGCUCAAGGUUUGAAUUCUACGAUCACAAUGUGGAGGGUGUUGGGAGGUAUUUAUUUUUAUCCCCACUGCCAGCGUCAUCACAGUGUGUAUGUGUGUGUGUGUGUGAUCCAAAUUCACACUCCUCACAUGCACAGCACAGAGGCCUGAGCCAGCUGCUUUCCCCAAAGCUGAGAUACGGUUAAGGUUCAUGUUUUGCCUCAUUAAAAAAGUGAUGGCAGAAACGUGUGAGUGAAACCUGCCCUCAUAGUAACUUACCUAACAAGCUUGAAACGUGUAUUCCGAACGUGUGAUUUGUUGUUCAGUGUGAGCCCAGGAUGAAGAGUGUGAGUGUGUAUGUGUGUACAUGGGUUAGCUGUUGCAGACACACACAGCAAAUGCUCUCUAGACCGGCACUCCCUGUCUCCUUACUAACAGAAGCUGG